CAUUAGCUGAGGAGCGCUGCAACUCCGGUUUACGGAACCAGGCUCAGCAAAUGAAACGGCGCUCGUUCCAA
rnacentral:ncRNA from 12 species